rnacentral:tRNA from 1 species
GGGGUUGUGGCUCAGUGGUAGAGCACUUGCCUUGAAUCUGUGAGGUCCUGGGUUCAAUCCUCAGCACCA